rnacentral:rRNA from 1 species
GACGAACGCUGGCGGCGUGCUUAACACAUGCAAGUCGAACGGACAGGCGCUGCUCUUGUGGGGUGCACGUGUGCCGCACGGGUGAGUAACACGUGUGUAUCAUGUCCCUGACUUUGGGAUAUCUCUUGGAAACUGGGGCUAUUAUACCAUAGGAGCUCUUGAUGCACGGUGGGCGUUGGAAAGUUUCGGUGGUGGGGGCUGGACUGGCGGCUUACCCGCUUGUUGGUGAAGUAGUGGUUUUCAAAGCUUAAGACGGGUAGCCGGCAUGGGAGGGUGACCGGCCACAUGGGUACUAAGGGACGGACCAGACUCCUACGGGAGGCAGCAGGGGGAAAUAUUGCAGAAUGAGCGGAAGCCUGAUACAACAGCGCCGCGUGCGUGAUGACGGCCUUCGGGUUGUAAACCGCUGUCGCCUGUGACGAAGCGUGAGUGACGGUAAUUGGUAAAGAAGCACCGGCUAACUACGUG